CUAGGAAUCUUGGGAAUGGGCGAAAGCCUGACCCAGCAACGCCGCGUGGGCGAUGAAGGCCUUAGGGUCGUAAAGCCCUUUUGUGGGGGAAGAUGAUGACGGUACCCCACGAAUAAGCCACGGCUAACUACGUGCCAGCAGCCGCGGUAAUACGUAGGUGGCGAGCGUUGUCCGGAUUUAUUGGGCGUAAAGCGCGUGCAGGCGGUUCGUUAAGUUCAGGGUGAAAGCUCCCGGCUCAACUGGGAGAGGUCCUUGGAUACUGGCGGACUUGAGGGAGGUAGAGGAGAGUGGAAUUCUCGGUGUAGUGGUGAUAUGCGUAGAUAUCGAGAGGAACACCAGUGGCGAAGGCGGCUCUCUGGGCCUUUCCUGACGCUGAGACGCGAAAGCGUGGGGAGCGAACCGG
rnacentral:rRNA from 1 species